GUACUUGCUUCGGCAGUACAUAUACUAAAAUUGGAACGAUACAGAGAAGAUUAGCAUGGCCCCUGCGCAAGGACAAUAUUUGGCUCGAUGCACGAACUUUAG